GUGCUCACUUUGGCAGCACAUAUACUAAAAUUGGAACGAUACAAAGAUUAGCAUGCCCCCUGAGCAAGAAUGACAUGCAAAUUUGUUAAGCAUCCCAUAUUAAA